rnacentral:rRNA from 1 species
AUUGAACGCUGGCGGCAGGCCUAACACAUGCAAGUAGAGCGGCAGCGGGAAAGUAGCUUGCUACUUUUGCCGGCGAGCGGCGGACGGGUGAGUAAUGCCUGGGAAAUUGCCCAGUCGAGGGGGAUAACAGUCGGAAACGACUGCUAAUACCGCAUACGCCCUACGGGGGAAAGCAGGGGACUUUCGGGCCUUGCGCGAUUGGAUAUGCCCAGGUGGGAUUAGCUAGUUGGUGAGGUAAUGGCUCACCAAGGCGACGCUCCCUAGCUGGUCUGAGGGGAUGAUCAGCCACACUGGAACUGGGACACGGGCCAGACUCCUACGGGAGGCAGCAGUGGGGAAUAUUGCACAAUGGGGGAAACCCUGAUGCAGCCAUGCCGCGUGUGAAGAAGGCCUUCGGGUUGGAAAGCACUUUCAGCGAGGAGGAAAGGUCAGUAGCUAAUAUCUGCUGACUGUGACGUUACUCGCAGAAGAAGCACCGGCUAACUCCGUGCCAGCAGCCGCAGUAACAC